CCCUCCUCCCUCCUCCCCUUUCCUCUACCUCCGCCGCCGGCCUAGAUCCCGGCCAACUCCGGCCACUCCCUGCCGCGCCGAUUAUCUCCCCGGACCCCCUCUCCCCCCGGUUUCUAUCCCACCUCGUGGAACCACCAAAUCGCAACUCCAGCAGAAACCCUAGCCCCAGAUCCCGCAUGAGCACAGAGGAGCAGGAGGUCCAUGGUGACGGCGGCUCCCAGGAAGCAUGAGGUGGUGAGCAUGCUCGGCGACAGGAUUCACCGCAUGGGGCUACGAGCCCUGGCCUUCACCGACGACGGCGUUAACUGACCCGCAGGACCGCCGACAACCGCGCUCGGGCGCUGCAGACGGCCUAAGCUACGGCCAGCCCUCCUCCUCGCGUUCGCCAUCAGGCCGGCCUCCACCGUCACGCUCGCCUCCGACGACAGCACCCACAGGUGCUUAAUUUAUCAGCUCUUUUCUAGUGGAAAGUUGACCAGGACAGAGGACAUUCACAACUUUGCUUCAAUCCCAAAGGUUAGCGAUUGCAUUCUUGUUUUUUUGGCUUGUUUUGGAGCUGUGACAUGAAUCCAUCACAUUCUCCACUGUAUGUACGUUUGUACAUUAUUUUGACAUUGUUUGUGUGACUCUUAAACCUCGGCGUCCACACCGGGGAGCGGUGGCAGUGCCAGGACGGUCCACAGCUGUUGAUAGUCCUUAAUGUCAAAAGGUUGGAAGCUAUUGCACCUACUGGCCUGUACAUACAAGAAUUGAACUAUCUUGAGAUAAUAUUGUUUUCGUACCCUUGAAACCUCCUUGAACAAUCUGCUACAUCAUAAAUCUAUAUAAAUAAAAUUUUGCUCAUUUUGUUGCUGUUAUGCUCAUUGCAAUAUGACCAAGAUAUACACUCCCAUAUAUGCGUUGAUCUUGGUUUGUUUCCUCUUAUUUGCUUGUAACACAUGUUCUGGUUUUUUCAGCUAUGUUGCGCCGCAUUUGUAUUUUCAGUGACUUCUUGAUGUCAAUAUCAGUCUCAGUUGCAUAGUUACCAUGUCAUUUUUUUCAUGCCUGUAAUUUCCAAACGGUUAACAUAGGUAGUAGCUGGACGUUGCUAUAACAGAUACCUACAUUUGUUGUUCUAAAAGAUUUUGUAAUCUCUAUAUUGUUUAUUGUCAUUAUUUGCUUCCAUAGAUCCAUCAGAUAUUUAGAUAACUGCUAUAUUGAUCACCUUUAGUCCUUCUACAUGUUAUUCUGAGUACUUGUGUCAGAAUUCUAUUUCUAUGUUCUAGGAAGCUGAUUAUCCUUGCAAACAACUGUUCUCCGCUUAGGAAGUCAAAAUCGAGUACUAUGCUAUGCUAAAGAUUAGCUUGCACCAUUUCCAGGCAAAUGCACCAGGCUGAAGAAGCUCCAACACGUGAAGCACCACCCAGGAAGAAAACAGUAGCUAGUUAGCGUAGAGAGCAGGUUAUAUUUUUGAUAUCUGGGAUAUUAUCUGUACAUAUGUGAUUUGAACUGUGGAGAUGUUGUAAUAGACUAUGGAUGUUAUCAAAAGAAUUUCAUAA